rnacentral:rRNA from 1 species
UACGUAGGGUGCAAGCGUUAAUCGGAAUUACUGGGCGUAAAGCGUGCGCAGGCGGUUUUGUAAGUCUGACGUGAAAUCCCCGGGCUCAACCUGGGAAUUGCGAUGAAGACUGCAAGGCUAGAAUCUGGCAGAGGGGGGUAGAAUUCCACGUGUAGCAGUGAAAUGCGUAGAGAUGUGGAGGAACACCGAUGGCGAAGGCAGCCCCCUGGGUCAAGAUUGACGCUCAUGCACGAAAGCGUGGGGAGCGAACAGG